GUAAGCAUAUCAAUAAGCGGAGGAAAAGAAACCAACGGGGAUUGCCUCCCCCACGCGCGAGUGAAGCGGCAACAGCUCAAAUUUGAAAUCUGGCUCUUUCAGGGUCCGAGUUGUAAUUUGUAGAGGAUGCUUCGGGUGUGGCUCCGGUCUAAGUUCCUUGGAACAGGACGUCAUAGAGGGUGAGAAUCCCGUAUGUGACUGGUUGCCUAUGCUCAUGUGAAGCUCCUUCGACGAGUCGAGUUGUUUGGGAAUGCAGCUCAAAAUGGGUGGUAAAUUUCAUCUAAAGCUAAAUAUUGGCCAGAGACCGAUAGCGCACAAGUAGAGUGAUCGAAAGAUGAAAAGCACUUUGGAAAGAGAGUUAAACAGUACGUGAAAUUGUUGAAAGGGAAGCGCUUGCAACCAGACUUGCACGUAGUUAAUCAACCGGUGUUCUCACUGGUGCACUUGAUCACGUUCAGGCCAGCAUCGGUUUCGGUGGUUGGAUAAAGGCCGGGGGAAUGUGGCUUCUUUCGGGGAGUGUUAUAGCCCUCGGUGCAAUGCAGCCUACCGGGACCGAGGACCGCGCUUCGGCUAGGAUGCUGGCGUAAUGGUUGUAAGCGACCCGUCUUGAAACACGGACCAAGGAGUCUAACAUCUAUGCGAGUGUUUGGGUGUUAAACCCAUACGCGUAAUGAAGGUGAACGGAGGUGAGAACCCUUAAGGGUGCAUCAUCGACCGAUCCUGAUGUCUUCGGAUGGAUUUGAGUAAGAGCAUAGCUGUUGGGACCCGAAAGAUGGUGAACUAUGCCUGAAUAGGGUGAAGCCAGAGGAAACUCUGGUGGAGGCUCGCAGCGGUUCUGACGUGCAAAUCGAUCGUCAAAUUUGGGUAUAGGGGCGAAAGACUAAUCGAACCAUCUAGUAGCUGGUUCCUGCCGAAG
rnacentral:rRNA from 1 species